GAUGGACGCUGGCGGCGUGCCUAAUACAUGCAAGUCGAGCGAACGGACGAGAAGCUUGCUUCUCUGAUGUUAGCGGCGGACGGGUGAGUAACACGUGGAUAACCUACCUAUAAGACUGGGAUAACUUCGGGAAACCGGAGCUAAUACCGGAUAAUAUUUUGAACCGCAUGGUUCAAAAGUGAAAGACGGUCUUGCUGUCACUUAUAGAUGGAUCCGCGCUGCAUUAGCUAGUUGGUAAGGUAACGGCUUACCAAGGCAACGAUGCAUAGCCGACCUGAGAGGGUGAGCGGCCACACUGGAACUGAGACACGGUCCAGACUCCUACGGGAGGCAGCAGUAGGGAAUCUUACGCAAUGGGCGAAAGCCUGACGGAGCAACGCCGCGUGAGUGAUGAAGGUCUUCGGAUCGUAAAACUCUGUUAUUAGGGAAGAACAUAUGUGUAAGUAACUGUGCACAUCUUGACGGUACCUAAUCAGAAAGCCACGGCUAACUACGUG
rnacentral:rRNA from 1 species